rnacentral:rRNA from 1 species
AUGAACGGCGGCGAGACCUCACACGGCGCCCUCAGGACCUUGGACGCUGCUGCGGCCGAUCCUGUCAUCGGCCGCGACGACGAGAUCGACCGCGUCAUCUGCAUCCUCAUCCGGCGGACCAAGAACUGCGCCGCGCUCGUCGGCCCUGCGGGGGUCGGCAAGACGGCCAUCAUAGAAGGCCUCGCGCAGCGCAUCGCCGCCGGGAACGUCCCCGACACACUUGCCGGCGCACGGAUCGUGGAGGUCGACAUGGGUGCCAUGGUCGCCGGGACGAACUGGAGUGGCAUGUUCGAGCAACGCCUCAAGGACGCCAUCAAGCAGGCGGAGGAAUCGGACGGCAAGGUCAUCCUGUUCAUCGAUGCGAUGCAUAUGAUUGUUGGCGCCGGCGCCGGCGAACGACACCCCACCGUUGACGCUGCCAAUAUGCUCAAGCCGGCGAUGGCUCGUGGUCGUGUCCGUUGUGUGGGCGCUACCACUAACGAAGAGUAUAAGCCCAUCCAGAAGGAUGCCGCACUCGAGCGGCGGUUUCAGAAGGUUGUCGUCGAAGAGCCAAGCCUACAAGCCACCAUUGCCAUCCUGCAGGGGCUGAAGCAACGAUAUCAAGAGCAUCAUGGCGUGAAAAUCCAGGACGAUGCUCUUGUUGCCGCUGCACAGCUUGCUGCCCGCUAUAUUACAGGUCGUCAGUUUCCUGAUAAAGCAAUUGAUCUUAUCGACGAGGCAUGCGCUACAAGAAAGAUGCAUGUCGACAAACAAAAGAAUGCGAAAAAUAAACAAAAUAACACCAUAAUAAAUACAUCAGAGGAUAUGAUUGUGGGCCCAGGCCAUGUCGCACAGGUUGUGAGCCGGUGGACUAAAAUUUCCCUCGCCACACUUCAUCAAGGGGAGAAGGAGAAGUUGAUCAACUUAGCGAAAAAAUUGCAUGAGCGAGUUGUUGGGCAGGAUGAAGCGGUCAAUUCGGUUGCAAAAGCAGUGUUGCGUUCAAGGGUCGGCUUUGGUCAAUCUGAACAACUUAUAAACUCAUUCCUUUUUUUGGGAUUCCUUGGUGUUGGUAAAACAGAACUUGCUAAAGCUCUCGCUGUGAAGAUAUUUGACACUCAAAAGGCGUUGAUUCGCUUUGAUAUGUCUGAAUAUGCUGAGAGUGGAUCUGUGUCACGUCUAAUCGGUGGACCUCGAAGGUUUAUUUCCUAUGAAGAAGAUGGACAACUCACCGAGAAAGUGAAGAGCUGUCCAUACAGUGUUGUCCUAUUUGACCAAGUGCAUAAAGCAGAACCCUCAGUAUUUAAACUUUUUAUUCAAAUCCUUGAUGAUGGUAUGUUGACCGAUGGAAAAGGACGGCUUGUCAACUUCAAGAAUACUAUCAUCAUUAUGACUACGAAUUUGGGAGCAAACCACCUAACAUCAAGAAUCACCGGAGAGAGCACCAUGAGAGCUGGAAGAGAUCUUCUAACGAAAGAGAUUGAGAAAUGCUUCAAGCCUGAACUAAUGAAUAGACUGAGUGAGAUUGUGACAUUUGAGCCACUUUCACAUGACGAACUAAGGGAGGUUGUGAAAAUCCAGAUGAAGAAUGUCACCGCCAUGGUAGCUAACAAGGGUGUCUCUCUAAUUACAACUGAUGCCGCUCUGGAUGUCAUUUGGUCAGAAGCACAUGAUCCAGUGUACGGUGCAAGGCCUAUAAAAAGGUGGGUGCAAAAGCAUGUGACGGCAAUUCUCUCAGACAUGAUGGUCAAUGGAGAAGCAUGUGAAGGCUCCACCAUCUCCAUCGACGCAACAGAGGAUAAGAUGGGGCUGAAGUACCAAGUACUAAACUGA